GCUAACGCAUUAAGUGCCCCGCCUGGGGAGUACGGCCGCAAGGCUAAAACUCAAAGGAAUUGACGGGGGCCCGCACAAGCGGCGGAGCAUGUGGAUUAAUUCGAUGCAACGCGAAGAACCUUACCAAGGCUUGACAUGGGCUGGAUUGCUUCGGAGACGGGGUUUCCCUUUUUUGGGCUGGUUCACAGGUGGUGCAUGGUUGUCGUCAGCUCGUGUCGUGAGAUGUUGGGUUAAGUCCCGCAACGAGCGCAACCCUUGUCUUAUGUUGCCAGCAUUUGGUUGGGGACUCAUGAGAGACUGCCGGGGUUAACUCGGAGGAAGGUGGGGAUGACGUCAAAUCAUCAUGCCCCUUAUGUCCAGGGCUUCACACAUGCUACAAUGGUCGGUACAACGCGUUUGCGAGCCUGUGAGGGUGUGCUAAUCGCUGAAAGCCGGUCGUAGUUCGGAUUGGGGUCUGCAACUCGAC
rnacentral:rRNA from 16 species